UACGGAGGAUUCAAGCGUUAUCCGGAUUUAUUGGGUUUAAAGGGUGCGUAGGCGGCAGAUUAAGUUAGAGGUGAAAUUCCGAGGCUCAACCUUGGCACUGCCUCUGAUACUGGUUUGCUAGCGAGUAGAUGCUGUAGGCGGAAUGUAUGGUGUAGCGGUGAAAUGCUUAGAGAUCAUACAGAACACCGAUAGCGAAGGCAGCUUACCAGACUGAGUCUGACGCUGAUGCACGAGAGCAUGGGUAGCAAACAGG
rnacentral:rRNA from 1 species